rnacentral:rRNA from 1 species
GACGUAGGGGGCCAGCGUUGUUCGGAAUUACUGGGUGUAAAGGGUUCGUAGGCGGUGCGGCAAGUUGGGAGUGAAAUCUCUGGGCUUAACCCAGAGGCUGCUUCCAAAACUGCUGUGCUUGAGUGUGGGAGAGGCGCGUGGAAUUGCAGGUGUAGCGGUGAAAUGCGUAGAUAUCUGCAGGAACACCCGUGACGAAAGCGGCGCGCUGGACCACUACUGACGCUGAGGAACGAAAGCUAGGGGAGCAAACAGG